rnacentral:lncRNA from 1 species
AAUUUUGAAUUCGAAUUCAAAAUUUUUCAAUUUAUUCAUAUCUGAAUCAAAGUUUGAAAAUUUUUAGAAAAAAAAAAGAGAAGUAAAUUUUUUUUUUUGAGAGAUAGGUAGCACGCUACGCUAUCCGUUUUGUUUAUUUUAUUUAAAAAUAAACUUAGCUGAAAAUGUGAAUCAAUUAGGAUUUGAACUUAGGUCUCAGGUACUACCACCAAAUUCUUUGCCACUUGCUCUAGAGACAAUAGAUAAGUAAAAAUAUUUUUUAUAAGUCAUGAUAAAAGAAAUAAAUUUUAGAGAGUAAAUAUAAUUGGUUAAAAGCCACACUAUCUAUGUGACUGUUACACUUUUACUAGGUCAUCAUAUAUUACUGCAUAAUGAAAAAAAUUGGGAUAUUUUUCUUUGGCGAGAACUUUUAAAGAGCAAAAUGGACAAAUAAGCGGUCGAAGCGUCAUUGGGUGAACAUCCGCAAGGGAAGUACGAAUGGCUCUCAACUUCUUCCGUGGGGCCCAUGCCCAUCCAUACUAUUAGAACGAAUCAAAUCCGCCAGUCCGAUUACCCCGCCACCCGCAUCCCGG